UACGAAGGGGGCUAGCGUUGUUCGGAAUUACUGGGCGUAAAGCGCGCGGCAGGCGGUCUUCCAAGUCAGUGGUGAAAGCCCGGAGCUCAACUCCGGGAACUGCCAUUGAAACUGUGAGACUUGAGGAUGAGAGAGGUGAGUGGAAUUCCCAGUGUAGAGGUGAAAUUCGUAGAUAUUGGGAAGAACACCGGUGGCGAAGGCGGCUCACUGGCUCAUUUCUGACGCUCAGGCGCGACAGCGUGGGGAUCAAACAGG
rnacentral:rRNA from 1 species